rnacentral:rRNA from 1 species
AGCAGCCGCGGUAAUUCCAGCUCCAAUAGCGUAUAUUAAAGUUGUUGCAGUUAAAAAGCUCGUAGUUGAAUUUCGGGGUUAGCAGGUCGGUCGUGCCAUCGGUAUGAACUGGUCUCGCUGAUCCCUCCCUCUUGACGAACUGUGAUGCCAUUAAUUUGGUGUCGCAGGGAAUCAGGACUGUUACUUUGAAAAAUUAGAGUGUUUAAAGCAGGCUCACGCUUGAAUACAUUAGCAUGGAAUAAUGAAAUAGGACGUUUGAUCCUAUUUUGUUGGUUUCUAGGAUUGACGUAAUGAUUAAUAGGGAUAGUUGGGGGCAUUAGUAUUCAAUUGUCAGAGGUGAAAUUCUUGGAUUUAUUGAAGACUAACUACUGCGAAAGCAUUUGCCAAGGAUGUUUUCAUUAAUCAAGAACGAAAGUUAGGGGAUCGAAGACGAUCAGAUACCGUCGUAGUCUUAACCAUAAACUAUAGCCGACUAGGGAUCGGAUGAUGUUAAUUUUUAAUGACUCAUUC